UACGUAGGAGGCGAGCGUUGUCCGGAAUUACUGGGCGUAAAGCGCGCGUAGGCGGCGCUGUACGACCGAUGUGAAAGCCCCCGGCUCAACUGGGGAACGUCAUUGGUAACGGCAGUGCUUUGAGUACAGGAGAGGGAAGUGGAACUCCGGGAGUAGCGGUGAAAUGCGUAGAGACCCGGAGGAACACCAGUGGCGAAGGCGGCUUCCUGGCCUGGAACUGACGCUGUGGCGCGAAAGCUAGGGGAGCAAACGGG
rnacentral:rRNA from 1 species